AUAAUAAAUCUCACCCUAGAGAUCCUCUUCCGGAUUACUGGAGAGGACUACAUAGUAGUGAAGAAGACCUCUAGUGAGCCCUGUCAGGCCCCUGUGUCUGAAGGAUGGGGAAGAACCCUUAGCCCAAUGACAAGGCCUCCACCUCACCCCCCGAUACAUGAGGAAAUCAGUAGAGAGAAGAUCCUAGAACUCACCAACAAGAUGAUUGAGCUGCUGACUGGAGAGGUUACUAUAAGGUGUCAGGAUGUCACCGUCCAUUUCUCCAUGGAGGAGUGGGAGUAUUUAG